rnacentral:tRNA from 1 species
AGUUUAUCCUCAUUGUUUUGAAAACAAUAUAAAGAAAUUUUUUUCUAUAAACUU